GCGAGGGACAGGGGGAGGAAGGACGCGGCGGCGAAAGGGAGACGAGAGGAGAGGGGACCAGGAGACAGGAUAGCCGGCGCGCAGGUAGCCAACGACGAACAAGGAGAGAGCGAGUUAGCAGGUACUCGCGAGAGACGCAGACGAGGCGAUAGUCUCUUAGGCGACCUGCACGGAUACAAACAGAGCAUCGAGUCAUCGACGAGGCAGCCAGGCAGCCGGGGCUCUUGGCCACCCGGCAUUAUCGUGUCUCCAGGUCCGUCUCUGUCCCUCCUGACCUGUUCUCCUCGUCCGACCUGCUACCUUGACAAGGAUACCUCGCCCUUCGAUCCGUUCGAGAGACGAGGACGCGGGUACACGCACACGUACGUUAUCGUUCUCCUUCUUCGUAGCCCGCGAGCCGGCCAAGCCCUCUCCUUGUCCGUCCCGCUACCUUGACAAGGAUAUCCCCAGGAGUUGGCCGUCCGGCCGAAGAAGGAGGAGGACACUGCGUACGUAGAUUAUCGUAAUUCUCCGGCUCCCUCUCGUCCCUCGGCCUGCCACGAUACGGACUCUCUCGUUCGAUCCCCGAAGCGUUUCUCCCCGCGUGUUCCCACCUUGAGAAGGAUAUCCAGAUAUCGCGAGACGUCCGUGGACCAAGUCUAAGGUCGAGCCGCCAAGGUGAACGAAAUGUGGCUUGGUCCACGCGCGAUUCGAUGCUCACGGAGCGAUCGUGUCGGUAGCGCCGGUCAAACAUUCCGAGCCGACAUUUCCAUCGACUUUCACCUGGUCUUUGUUCUCCGCGAGAUCGUUCGGGGAACGGAGACGCGACCGUUCUCUCCCUCUUUUAUCGAGCUUUUUAUCGGGGACCGACGAACAGGACGAACGAGAGGAGGAGAAGAUUACUCGUGGACGUUCUACGAGGCUCGUUCGAUGGCUGGCAAAAAACUGCAGCCUGCGAACAACAGGAGGAGGAGCAGGACGAAGAGAGACGUCAGGUAGAGGAGGACCGGCGAGGAUGAAAAUCAAAAAGGAAGACGCGCGUGUGCACCGAUAUAGCUACAGACACACGUGCGUGCUAUUGAUUCCCCGUUGCGCUCCAGAGGGAGUAUAUAGACGCAGACGGCGAAGAAGAACGAAGCUGCCGUAGCUGGCUUCUGCUGCUGCCGGCCGGCUACGGAGAUGGACUCUCCGGAUCGAAAGAGCGAGAAGUUCGGGAUGGCGCGAGGGGGAGGUGGCCAGUCGGCUGGCGCUGCUCCGUGAACAGAGGGGAAGGAAAGGUUCAGAGGAGAGAGUGCGUGAACACUCGACCGAUAGAGGGAACGAGAGGCAGAGGAGAAAAUGAGCGUACCGGGACCAAGAAGAAAUCUUUCCUCCCUCUUUCUACUGCCUUCCCCCCGGCCUCUCUGUUCGCCCGUGCACCAAGGGAGAGAGAUUAAAAAGAGAAAAAGCAACGGAUGGAAUUAAAAGAGGAAAAAACGAGCCGAAGGGAAGAAAGACGGAGGAGAAAGGAAGAGGAGGAGCUGGAGCGAGAGGGAGACUCGUGAAAAAUGGGCAGCCAGCCACGGAGGACAGCCUCGGGCUACGUCGCGAUGUGUUUUAAAACGGACGGCUGACCGCGAAAACUCAAAAUUUUUUACAUUUUUCGGUACGAACGGUGAAUUAAGCUCUCGAUGUGUCGGAACCACGUGUUAUUUGAGAAAUAUUUAGUUAUACAGUGACUGGAUGACAUCGGUAAUUAGGGUGGUAUCCUACGAUCAGAUUUUGGACAUCCACAUCUAGGGCUAGAUAUAAAUUUCAGGUUCCCCUUUUUCAUCCCCUACGAGGUGAAAAGUUUGACCCUCGGUCAGGACAGUGAAACACCAUGCAACAAGUAUUGUCGAAAACCGGAUUUCGUUGACGAUGGACAGUCAACGAUGAUGUAUGCGAAUUGUUUGCGCAUUAGAAUCUUCAGGGGGCUUAGUAACCCUCUUCUCUAUAAUUGUUAUCGGUCGCCGUUGAAAAAUCGAGGCUUAGAACUACGUAGUUGAUGCUUCAAAUGUACCCCUCGGAUUUAUUUGAAAUUAUGCAAUCUUUUUAUCUAUCCUAUAGAAGUUGGGUUUAUUCAACAAAUCCCUCAGACGCAAAUUCAUUCUUCUAGUAAAUACAUUUAUAAUUGACAUUCGAUGCUCAACAACCGAUAUUUUAUAUUCAAAAUUUUUAUAUUUGGUUACUGAUUGAAUAAUUUCUUGCUUAUAGUUUUGGUGGGAUUGUGGGGAUCUUCAAACUUGAUAACUUAAGGUUAUUAUUAUUAAGUUAUAUAUUAAACCUUGUUUAGGUGAAAAUUUCAUAUUUUUCUUUAUCUCUUUCUGAUAUUAAGUACUCAUGUAUACAUACAUAUAUGUAGAUUUGUACAUAUGUAUUCUCAUUUUUGUAUAUUACUUAACCAUGAUUUAUUUCUGUAUAUUAUUCCUAUAUGAUUUGUUCUAAUACAUUAUCGAUAUGUGAUUCAUUAUCUACACAUGACUUAUUUUCCUAUAUCAUUUACAUAUGAUUCACACUUGCAUAUUCGCACAUGAUUCAUUUUUGUUACUCACACGCAAUUUAUGUUUGUUACUUACACAAAUAACCACGUGUUUUCUAACAACCGAGCCAGGCUUUUGAAAGCCUCAAAGAGAAAAUACCAUACAAUCAUGGCCGCAGAGCCCAUUCGCUUUUCGCACUGACCGAUUCUCAGGAAUGGGAAAGCAGCCGAUAACAAUCGGCGUUUUAACAAUAUCGAAUAAACGUUUCAUUACCUCCUAACGAUAUAGUCACGCUAUUGCAGAAACGCGUGGAAUUGCGUGCGGCAAAAACGAGUCAGUGUACCGCAAACAAUAUAUAGGUACGUACACAGUAUUUUCUAGCGAUAAAUCUCAUUUUACGGCUUCCACUUUUUCAACAUUCGAAUCUGCCGUUCUAUUACCGCGUCGACGCUUACCUCGUUAAUCGAUAACCUUCGCUGAAAAAGAAGUGUUAAAUUAUUUUAUAACGUUUUGCUAAUUAUAUAACCAUGAUUGACCUUUCUGAACGCCGAAACCACAAAUGUAUCGUAAAUAAGUUAUUUCGAGAAGAACUUCAUUCGAUACUGUGAGGAGAAAAUGGAGUGAAUCGUUUAAUGCGAAAGUGGUGUCGAAAAAGUUGAUUACUGCAUGUGGGAUCGAGUAAAAGUUUAAAACGGUCUCGAAGAAUGUUACGUCUCUUUUAUAAGGCGCUGUGAAGUUACACUUUGUAAUGAACCUGUUUCGUACAUAUACAUUUUACUAAUUAUAUUGACCUUAUUAGUUAUGUUGCUCCAAUCUAUUUUUCAGAGUUCUUUAAUGUAAAACUUUUUCUUUCAAAUGUUAAAUUUGCUUAAACUUGUUACA